rnacentral:rRNA from 1 species
GUGCCAGCAGCCGCGGUAAUUCCAGCUCCAAUAGCGUAUAUUAAAGUUGUUGUGGUUAAAAAGCUCGUAGUUGAACCUUGGGCCUGGCUGGCCGGUCCGCCUCACCGCGUGCACUGGUCCGGCCGGGCCUUUCCCUCUGUGGAACCCCAUACCCUUCACUGGGUGAAAAAAAAAAAAACAAGACAUUUACUUUGAAAAAAUUAGAGUGCUCCAGGCAGGCCUAUGCUCGAAUACAUUAGCAUGGAAUAAUAAAAUAGGACGCGCGGUUCUAUUUUGUUGGUUUAUACGACCGCCGUAAUGAUUAAUAGGGACAGUCGGGGGCAUCAGUAUUCAACUGUCAGAGGUGAAAUUCUUGGAUCAGUUGAAGACUAACUACUGCGAAAGCAUUUGCCAAGGAUGUUUUCAUUAAUCAGGAACGAAAGUUAGGGGAUCGAAGACGAUCAGAUACCGUCGUAGUCUUAACCAUAAACUAUGCCGACUAGGGAUCGGACGGUGUUAUUCAUGACCCGUUCGGCACCUUACGAGAAAUCAAAGUGCUUGGGCUCCAGGGGGAGUAUGGUCGCAAGGCUGAAACUUAAAGAAAUUGACGGAAGCGCACCACCAGGGGUGGAGUCUGCGUCUUAAUUUUGACUCAACACGGGGAAACUCACCAGGUCCAGACACAUAAGGAUUGACAGAUUGAGAGCUCUUUCUUGAUUUUGUGGGUGGUGGCUGCAUCGCCCGUCGUAGGUGGUGGGGUGACUUGUCUGCUUAAUAGCGAUAACGAACGAGAUCUUAACUGCUAAAUAGUCUCGCAUUGCUCCGGCAGUGCUCUGGCU